rnacentral:lncRNA from 1 species
ACUUAUAUUUCCAAGAGAUGCAGGAAUCUGUCCCAUGAGAUUAUUGUGAGACAAAUUCAAGUAUCUCAGAGAAUUAAGAUUUCCUAUGGAAUCUGGAAUACUCCCAGAGAAUCUAUUGGAGGAUAAGUCAAUCGUUGUAAAGGUAUCCAACAAUCUCAGCAAUGUCUGAUCCAAGCCUUUCAAAGUGAACUUCAACACUAGAAAUCUUAGAAACGCGUCCUGAUCAUUUGUCGUGUUUUCCUUGGCAUUUAUCAUGCCCUGGAAAUUCUUGAAAUAUCUAUCAGGUAACGAGCCAGAAAAUGCAUUUCUCGAUAUAUCCAAGACUCGCAACUUGGGAAACGGAUGCUCGGCCUUUGAACCCAGCAACAUAUUACCAUCAAACUUGUUAGACCUCAAGACGAGGACGCGGAGUCUAGGGAGUGUUUCCAUCCAGAAGGGAAACACAUCUCGUAUUUCAUUGUCACCAAUGUCAAUGCUUCGAAUACCUUGGCAGUUGAUUAGGGAGUGAGGCAGUGCACCUUCCAAUUUAUUGCCAUUCAGAUUAAGUGACUGAAGACUACAUUCCUUUGUAAAUGUUGAUGGAACGAGGCCUGUGAUAAAAUUGUCACUCAAAUGCAGAACCUCCAAUGAUUUGCUGAAGUUGCCCAAGCACUCUGGAAUUGCUCCUUCCAAAUUGUUGUUUGAUAAAUGCAGAAAUUGAAGGGAUCUCAACUUGCAAAUAGAUGAUGGAAUUUCUCCAUUGAAUUUGUUGGAGUAGAAUAAAAGAAUAGCCAGCUCUGAUAGAUUUCCGAUGCUGGAAGGUAUUGGACCUGAAAAUUGUUUUAGGCAAGGAUGAUGAAAAUUCAAGAUUUUAUCUUUUAAAACUUAAAGAAUUUAUUUGAAAGAAUAUUGAAAUCAUACCACUUAAAUUAUUGUUGAAAAAGCCACAACUCACGAAUGGCUGUCAUGUUCUCAAUUUCUUUUGGAAUAUUACCUGCAAAUUUUUAAAAAGUCAACCAAAAUAUAAUUAAUUUAAUUUUAAGUAUAUAUUGACAUGUUAGCUACUAAUAGUAUAUUCCAAAAUGUAGAAUACAUAUUCAUAUAAUUCUUCAAAUUUUUGUGGAGAUUAUAUUGAAUGUACACAUACCUUGCAAAUAUGUAAAGAUACUAAAAAUGAAUAAAAUUUGUCAAAAUACAUAGUUUUGUGGAAUAGUUAAUUCCUCCACAAUUCAAGACAAGUAUACUGAACAAAAUUAAGUUUGAAAAUGCUGAACAAAAGUUUAGUAUGCUAUGUUUGUUUUGAUUUCUCCCAUUGUUUUCUAAAUAAUUUUCAUUUUGGACUUUUUAUCCUUUACACUUAUAAUUCUUUUCUAUCUUAUUACGUUUUUUAGUCUAGGUUAAUUAGUCAGAUAAUUACUGAUCAUCUAGCAUUUUGAAGUACUUUUAAGAUGUCAUGUAUAUUAUAAUUCAAAAAAAAAAGAUGUCAUGUACUAUAUUAAAAAAAAAAAAAAAAAUACUAAACACGGACAUACAUGAUGCUUCUAUCAAUAUGUGAUGUAUACUAUAGAUAUAUGACGAUUUAUAUAGCAAUGUCAUGUAUUUCAAACUUGAAACUUCAUAUACUAUUUCUUCAAAGCGUCACAUCUAUACCUAUUAUAAAGGCGCCUUGUUUUACAAAAUUUGAUAUACCAAUUAUAUCUCUUACAUAUACUUAAUUUAAGGUCAAUUGUGUAAUUUAAUAUAUUAAACAUAUAAUAAAUCUAAAAAUAUAUUAUGGUUUAAUUAUGUGUUAUAUUUUAGUAGUAAUUAUUUAAGUAGUGGUAUCCAUUAGAAUUCUUCAUCCACAUAUAUUAGUAUUUUUUAUUCUGUAAUUUAAUAAUUUAGAAUUAUAAUAGAAAUUAUUUAUUUAAUAUUUUUAUUAGAAGUUUAAUUUUGGUAGAAUCUUUAGAAUUAAAAUUAUUUAUGUUAAGAUGAAACCUAUAAAAUAAACAUGAAUUUCAUAUCAAUCUUGUUUUCUUUUUGGUCAUGCUUUUUUUUCUUUCUAAUGAUGACAAAAUUAGGUGAAGUUUAAUUAAUUAUUUAUUAAAAUAUUUUUUAAUGAAAAUAAAAGGUUUAUUUAUUAAAAUAAUUGCUUUUUACGUGCAAACACACAUCAUCUCUGUUAGUAUACAAAAAAGACACUCACAGAUGACGCUUUUUAAUAUACUCAAAAAAGAUGUACGUAAUAAAAAAAAUAUCAAGUAUGCUCAAUUUUCUAGCAGUGAUUUGAUUUAUUUAGAGAAGAUGUUGUCACCGUCAACGAAGAAUGUUAAAUUAUAGAAACACAAAAUAUGGUGGAAUAAGCAUUCCUUAUGACAGCACAUCCAAAUACAUUAGUGUUUAUAAGGGAGUAGAAAGAGGCAUAGUAUCGUACCGCUUAAAUUAUUUCCAUUUACCAUUAAUUCAUUAAGAGAUGUCAUGUUCCCGAUCUCUUUUGGUAAUGAUCCACUAAAUUUAUUUCCCCCGAGCAUCAACCUUAUCAAAUUAUCAAGCUGACCAAUCUCUUUUGGAAUGUGACCUGUCAUGUAUAAAGUCAUAAGAGUUUAAUUUAACUAUGAAAUAUAAUAAAUACUCCUUUCGUUUAUUAAUUACGACCUGUUUUGCCAUUUUGAUCCGUGCACCCAUUCUUAACUCAUUCCACUUUUAAUAAGCUUUUCACUUAUAAUAAAGUGAGCUCCCUAUUUCACAACACACACCCCAAUUUCUUAAAACUCGUGUCAUUAUAAAAUGGGUCAAAAAAUGAUGGAUGAAGGGAGUACUAUGAAAGACGACUAAUGGAUUAAUUGCAAAAAAAAAAAUCAUUAAUUUUGGCCUUAAAGACGAUUUAUUAAGUGAAAAUUUAAAAUGCUCGCAUCCACUAAAGUCUAUAUGAAAAAUACUCACUUUUAUAAAUAUAUGCAUUUUAUGUCCAAAUAAAUUGAAUUUUCCCAUAAUAUCUCAAUCUUAUUGUACUUGGGAGAUAAUACCUUAUACAUUCCUAGCAUGUUCCGAAAGAAAGAACAAUUUAACAACGAUCAAUCAAAAAUCUAUCUAGCCGACAAAUAGAUGAGAUGCCGCCCAGCGCCCGGAUCAUGAUAUAGCAUGGGGCUAUGUCAUUUAGCCUAUCUAGCUAGCCUCCCGGUCAAAUGAUUGGCCGUCAGACGGUUAGAUGAUCUAGUUGUCGGUUAGAUGGAGUUUGACCGAUUGUUAUUAAAUCGUUCACUUUUUCAUAUUUUUUUAUAUUAUUUAUGACACAAUUGUACUUGUGUAAGACUUUUUAUAAAACUCAAGCAAAGUCAUCAACAGGUAUUUAAGUUUGUUCCCUUAACUUGGGUUAGUUCCACCAUGCACCUAGGUGCAUGUACACUCCCCCGUUGAUCUUGCGACUACUAAUGUCUUUAGUACUAGUUAAAAUUAAAUUAAUUAAAUAAUAAAGUCACGUGUGCACCUGAAAAUGUAAUCACUCAAUCUUAAUAAACACAAAGAUGAAUAACACAGAACAAAUCAAGUAUUUAGAACAAAAUAUAAACCAAAGACAAAAGAAAAAUAGAGGCCAGAAUUGUGUCAUUCAAUGAAAAAAUAGUCAAUUCAACAACUCUUAUAAAUCCUACAAAAUUUAAAAAAACUACAUCCAAUAAAAGAAAGACUACAACUAAUUAAAAAGAAAGGAAAUAGACAAAUAAUAUGUAUGUAACUGGAAUAAAUAAGAGAGAUCGCUCACCCUCAGCUUUAGAUGCUUGACGCUGAUCAUGUAACUGCAAAGAAAAAGAAGUGAUGGUUAGAUCCGUAAACAACAUUUAAAGAAACACCAUCAAACUGCAGAGCACUCAACAGACUCUCACUUCGUCNUGCGGUAUUCGCCCCACGAGAGUAUUCAUUGAAACGUUAAAUUUCGACAGAAAUGUCAAUCUGGCCAGCUCACUCGGGAUUUCUCCACCCAAUCUAUUUGAUGACAAGUCCAACGAUUCAAGCAGACUUAUAUUUCCAAGAGAUGCAGGAAUCUGUCCCAUGAGAUUAUUGUGAGACAAAUUCAAGUAUCUCAGAGAAUUAAGAUUUCCUAUGGAAUCUGGAAUACUCCCAGAGAAUCUAUUGGAGGAUAAGUCAAUCGUUGUAAAGGUAUCCAACAAUCUCAGCAAUGUCUGAUCCAAACCUUUCAAAGUGAACUUCAACUCUAUAAAUCUUAGAAACACGUCCUGAUCAUCUGUCGUGUUUUCUUGGCAUCUAUCAUGCCCUGGAAAUUCUUGAAAUAUCUAUCAGGUAACGAGCCAGAAAAUGCAUUUCUCGAUAUAUCCAAGACUUGCAACUUGGGAAACGGAUGCUCGGCCUUUGAAGCGAGACACAUAUUACCAUCAAACUUGUUAGACCUCAAGACGAGGACGCGGAGUCUAGGGAGUGUUUCCAUCCAGAAGGGAAACACAUCUCGUAUUUCAUUGUCACCAAUGUCAAUGCUUCGAAUACCUUGGCAGUUGAUUAGGGAGUGAGGCAGUGCACCUUCCAAUUUAUUGCCAUUCAGAUUAAGUGACUGAAGACUACAUUCCUUUGUAAAUGUUGAUGGAACGAGGCCUGUGAUAAAAUUGUCACUCAAAUGCAGAACCUCCAAUGAUUUGCUGAAGUUGCCCAAGCACUCUGGAAUUGCUCCUUCCAAAUUGUUGUUUGAUAAAUGCAGAAAUUGAAGGGAUCUCAACUUGCAAAUAGAUGAUGGAAUUUCUCCAUUUAAUUUGUUGGAGUAGAAUAAAAGAAUAGCCAGUUCUGAUAGAUUUCCAAUGAUGGAAGGUAUGGGACCUGGAAAUUUGUUUUAAGCAAGAAUCAUGAAAUUCAAGAUUAUAUCUUUUAAAACUUAAAGAAUUUAUUUGAAAGAAUAUUGAAAUCAUACCACUUAAAUUAUUGUUGAAAAGCCACAACUCACGAAUGGCUGUCAUGUUCUCAAUUUCUUUUGGAAUAUUACCUGCAAAUUUUUAAAAAGUCAACCAAAAUAUAAUUAAUUUAAUUUUAAGUAUAUAUUGACAUGUUAGCUACUAAUAGUAUAUUCCAAAAUGUAGAAUACAUAUUCAUAUAAUUCUUCAAAUUUUUGUGGAGAUUAUAUUGAAUGUACACAUACCUUGCAAAUAUGUAAAGAUACUAAAAAUGAAUAAAAUUUGUCAAAAUACAUAGUUUUGUGGAAUAGUUAAUUCCUCCACAAUUCAAGACAAGUAUACUGAACAAAAUUAAGUUUGAAAAUGCUGAACAAAAGUUUAGUAUGCUAUGUUUGUUUUGAUUUCUCCCAUUGUUUUCUAAAUAAUUUUCAUUUUGGACUUUUUAUCCUUUACACUUAUAAUUCUUUUCUAUCUAUUACGUUUUUUAGCAGGUUAAUUAGCAGAUAAUUACUGAUCAUCUAGCAUUUUGAAGUACUUUUAAGAUGUCAUGUAUAUUAUAAUUCAAAAAAAAAAGAUGUCAUGUACUUAUAUUAAAAAAAAAAAAAAACAAUUACUAAACACGGACAUACAUGAUGCUUCUAUCAAUAUGUGAUGUAUACUAUAGAUAUAUGACGAUUUAUAUAGCAAUGUCAUGUAUUUCAAACUUGAAACUUCAUAUACUAUUUCUUCAAAGCGUCACAUCUAUACCUAUUAUAAAGGCGCCUUGUUUUACAAAAUUUGAUAUACCAAUUAUAUCUCUUACAUAUACUUAAUUUAAGGUCAAUUGUGUAAUUUAAUAUAUUAAACAUAUAAUAAAUCUAAAAAUAUAUUAUGGUUUAAUUAUGUGUUAUAUUUUAGUAGUAAUUAUUUAAGUAGUGGUAUCCAUUAGAAUUCUUCAUCCACAUAUAUUAGUAUUUUUUAUUCUGUAAUUUAAUAAUUUAGAAUUAUAAUAGAAAUUAUUUAUUUAAUAUUUUUAUUAGAAGUUUAAUUUUGGUAGAAUCUUUAGAAUUAAAAUUAUUUAUGUUAAGAUGAAACCUAUAAAAUAAACAUGAAUUUCAUAUCAAUCUUGUUUUCUUUUUGGUCAUGCUUUUUUUUCUUUCUAAUGAUGACAAAAUUAGGUGAAGUUUAAUUAAUUAUUUAUUAAAAUAUUUUUUAAUGAAAAUAAAAGGUUUAUUUAUUAAAAUAAUUGCUUUUUACGUGCAAACACACAUCAUCUCUGUUAGUAUACAAAAAAGACACUCACAGAUGACGCUUUUUAAUAUACUCAAAAAAGAUGUACGUAAUAAAAAAAAUAUCAAGUAUCAAGUAUCACACUACAACAAAAAAGGGCUAAAAGGACACGUAAAUAUGUCCCAAUAAAUAUCUUAUUGCAACAUCUAAGUUUUCUCCACAUUGAAAAAUGGUGUCGCGUGUUAGAGUGUAGCUAAAGCAUUAUUAGGUAUUAGGACACUCUAGAAUGUCGUAAUAGAUAAAAAUUACACAGAUUUUAAAUACCUAAUGCGACAUUGAUUUAUGUUGGAGCAAAUUAUUACGACAUCUCUUUUUGUCCAAAUAAAUACUUUAUUACGCCAUUUUCUUGUGUCAAUAAUUUGAAGCUAUGCUAAUAAUUUUAAAAUGCGAAUUUUUAUAUAUUCACAUUAUUCAAUCUAUUGGCAUCAAAUACAUUCAUUGCUACAAAACUUCAGGAAAUAAAAAUAAUUGAAACACAUAGAAUAUCUAAAUAAAUAUAUUCUACUUUUUAUAAUAUGAAAUUAUUUAAAAUUACAAUUAAAAGUCAAAGUGCUUGACACAAGUAACUAUUAACAAAGUAAUAACUGAAUCAUACUCUAGGGAAAAAUCGGAGUUAUCACAAGUUAUAGCUAAAACAUAAAUUUCCUUGAAAUUUCUAACAUUAGCAGAAAUCUCCCAUGUAGAAAAACUUGAAGGAAAUAUCUGCAACAACUGACGAUGGCCUAUACAUCUGAAAUGGGACAGAGCUCUUAGCAUUUGCAUUUAAUUUAAAUUCCUGAAAGAAUAUGAAAACGAGUAAGUAAGAUAGGAAAAGAUAAAUUAAGCAUGUAAAUCUGAUGCACUACAAGAUGACACUAAAUUAUGAAUGGCAUGCAUCAAAUUUUUUAAACAUGUACUUCACCUUAAUUAGCAUAUGGAUUAAGCGUUGACUUCUUUGAAGACAAUGAAUCAACAGAUGAACUAGGAGACAAUCCACGGCCAUCAGAAGUUGAAGUACCUCUUCCACGAGCAGAAACAAAUGAUGCAGAACUACUGAUCCGAGGAACAGAGAUGAGGACAUGUACCUUCUGAUGACUCGUUGAAGAAGCUUCCUUUAUCCUGAUCUUUGGGUAAUAUACAUGAUGGAUCAAACACAAUAGCAUUUGCGGAUAAUUCGACAUUAGAACACUUUCUUUAUUUAAUGAGUUUGGACCUGAAAAUGUAAUCACUCAAUCUUAAUAAACACAAAGAUAGAAUAACACGGAACAAAUAAAAGUAAUAAUAAGAACAAAAUAAUAAACCAAAGACAAAAGAAAAAUGAGGCCAGAAUUGUGUCAUUCAAUGAAAAAAUGUCAAUUCAACAACUCUUAUAAAUACCUACAAAAAUUUAAAAAACUACAUCCAAUAAAAGAAAGCUACAACUAAUUAAAAAGAAGGAAAUGACAAAUAUAUGUAUGUAACUGGAAUAAAUAAGAGAGAUCGCUCACCCUCAGCUUUAGAUGCUUGACGCUGAUCAUGUAACUGCAAAGAAAAAGAAGUGAUGGUUAGAUCCGUAAACAACAAUUUAAAGAAACACCAUCAAACUGCAGAGCACUCAACAGACUCUCACUUCGUCCUCCUGAGGCUAACAAGCCCUUUCAAUGAGAAACUAUAUAAUCAAGAUCGCAUGCAAACUAUAGCUAUCUACUUGAGGCUAACAAGCCCUUUCAACGUGCAUCCAAUGACAGCAGGUGCAAACAAUUAACAAUUUCAAACUCAAUCGUCAAAUAAACGGAUGUUCACAUGGCAGCUUAUUCAAAUACCUUUAAGCGAGAUGAAUUAGCAAAUGACACUCUUAGAGGUGGAAAUAGAUGCAUAGAAGUAUAUUUGCACUAAAUAGAAAAGAUCUAACAAAAGAAUCAAAACAGGGGGGAGGUAAAAAAUAACAUAUAAUAUAUAUUCGUUGAUAAGCUCAAGUUGCUCUAUUUACGCCUUCGGAUUUAGUAGCCAUACCCUGCAACUACAUCAAGAAAAGUUGUCAUCUAAUAUUACAUUGUAUCAUGCCAUAAAAUAUUAGUGGUCCAACGUGGUUUAAAAUUAAUUUUCAAUGCUUACUUCACUCUUUGUAGGGCGCUCUUUAUAGAGCGGCUGAGUUGUAUGUGCUUGAUGACAAAGUAGUUGUAUAAGCAAGAUUGAGUACCUGCACCAACAUAACAAGUCGUUUAGAGAAACAGGAAAAACAAGAGUAAUUAGAAAUGCAUAGUUCAACAAUCUAGCUAGAAAAGUAAGUAAUUACUUCCACCGCCUAACAAAAUUAAUCAAACAUGCAGGGGGAAAAUCAAGUACAAACUUGGUGGAAGGUAACCAAAUGAAAGCUGAGUGCUUUUGCAUAGAGAAACGUAUACACGAGCACUAUCCUGGACUUAUCAACAAUUGGACUGAGACUUUAUCAACUUGUACAUCCAAUAUCAAGACAUUAAUAGACAUAGAUCUUCUUGACCUCAAAAAUGUUCCAAUUGGAAGUUUCAAUAACUUAAAAACAAGGCAAGUCAGACAUUAAAGACACCACUAUAUACCCUAAAGUAUCCAUUCAACGAUUGAGAGAAGAUUGGUAACUAGAGAAAAACAAAAGGGUAGUCCAAAUCGUAUCUCACAUAUGCCUACGGAUUGAAGACAAAAUUGAUGGCUGCAGACAGGAGAUAUCAUAUUUUUAAUAUAAAAAAAUGUAGGAAUAAGAAGAGUAUAAACCUUACAUCGCCGCGUCGGUGCCCUCGAAUUUAUGCCUGAACCAAAGUAUAUAGGCAAUUCAAAAACCUAGCAGAUUGAAUUGAAAAUAUCAUAUAUUCAAUCAAAAUCGGAUAAAUGAGAAUAGUAGAGCCCUAUCAAAGUCUUACCUUUCACCGUCGAAAUUGAUGGUUGACAAGAAGAAGACCAGCAAUUAAAAACUAAUUGAACUUAAAUUAUCAGAAUUUUAUAGAGCACAUCAGCAUGAGAAAAGUAAGCGUCCUAUCAUACGGGUGAUUUUGGAGGAAUCAUACCUACGGAGAUGACUUCCGAGCGCGGUGGGUGCGAGCACAACAAUGGCAAUUUUAUGGCGGUUCACGGCAUGUCGAGGAUAGUAUACUGGCGGAACCAUUGAUUAUUCACAUCAAUGGGAGAAUUCAAAGAGGGAUGAAAAACUGCUGGUGUAAUUUCUAGAGGAUUUUUGUGUUUUUGGAGCGAAAUAUCAAAUAAGUUGUUGUAAUAUUUGGAAUUUUUCGUGGGAAUGGUGGGAAGAUUUUUUGUUUUGUUUUUGAAACAUGGUGGGAACUGGGAAGCUUUUGACAAAAUAAAAACUCUGGUGGGAAAUGUUGUCGCUGGAGGUUUUUCUAUCUGUUAAUUAUUUUUGUUAAAUUAAUUAUUAAAAUAAAAGAUAUUAUUGUUAUACUAUUUGUUUUAUUUUUCAAUCUUUGGUGGGAAAUGUUGUUAUAAUAAGUAGUAUUUGUUUUGUUUCUGUAAUUGAAAAAAUAACAAUAAAUAAAUAAAUAAGUUAUAAAGGGGUUCAAAAGAAAAUAUAAAGGGAAAAUGAAUUAAAAUGUUUGGUCUAUAAUUAGAACUUGAAAAGGAAAUCGGAACAUCGCCAUUUUGCAAGAUGAGUUUUAACUAACACAAAUUUAGUAUUUAUAUAUGAUACUUUCAUAAGUUAUUUAGAAUUUAUAACAAUACAAUUAAAGUAAAUCAACCAAUAAAUAAUUUAUUUAAUUUAAUUUAUCAUAAAAUACAAGUAUAUCUUAAAUAGCUUAUAUAUAUAUAUAUAUUAUAAUAAUUUAUAUUAUACAUUGAACCAUGCAUAUGUGUUGUAUAAGAAAAUGUAUCCCAGCCAUUAAUUGCUAUCUAUCUAAAAUGUAGACGGAAUAAGUAAUAAUUUUAUUAAAAUAAAAUAUUAAGUUAUUCUCCCACAAAAUUAAUUUAGCAACAUUUUAUCAUGUCAUAAUUAUAUAUGUAUUACAACAUAUAAUAUUGUGUGGCGCAAUAGCUUAUAAUACAUGUAUACAACAUUAUAUAAUGUUGUAAUAAGAUUAGUAUUACCACAUAUAGUAUUUGGUGUAGCAAUAGUUAUUAAUAAAUAUUCAACAAUGAAUCAUAAAAAAGUUGAUGUCACAAUAGAGGUUUUAUUAUGACAUCCAAAGUUUUGUGUCGCCAAAACUAUGUAGUAAUAGGCAUUUUUUCUUGUAGUGUCAAGUAUGCUCAAUUUUCUAGCAGUGAUUUGAUUUGUUUAGAGAAGAUGUUGUCACCGUCAACGAAGAAUGUUAAAUUAUAGAAACACAAAAUAUGGUGGAAUAAGCAUUCCUUAUGACAGCACAUCCAAAUACAUUAGUGUUUAUAAGGGAGUAGAAAGAGGCAUAGUAUCGUACCGCUUAAAUUAUUUCCAUUUACCAUUAAUUCAUUAAGAGAUGUCAUGUUCCCGAUCUCUUUUGGUAAUGAUCCACUAAAUUUAUUUCCCCCGAGCAUCAACCUUAUCAAAUUAUCAAGCUGACCAAUCUCUUUUGGAAUGUGACCUGUCAUGUAUAAAGUCAUAAGAGUUUAAUUUAACUAUGAAAUAUAAUAAAUACUCCUUUCGUUUAUUAAUUACGACCUGUUUUGCCAUUUUGAUCCGUGCACCCAUUCUUAACUCAUUCCACUUUUAAUAAGCUUUUCACUUAUAAUAAAGUGAGCUCCCUAUUUCACAACACACACCCCAAUUUCUUAAAACUCGUGUCAUUAUAAAAUGGGUCAAAAAAUGAUGGAUGAAGGGAGUACUAUGAAAGACGACUAAUGGAUUAAUUGCAAAAAAAAAAAAAAUCAUUAAUUUUGGCCUUAAAGACGAUUUAUUAAGUGAAAAUUUAAAAUGCUCGCAUCCACUAAAGUCUAUAUGAAAAAUACUCACUUUUAUAAAUAUAUGCAUUUUAUGUCCAAAUAAAUUGAAUUUUCCCAUAAUAUCUCAAUCUUAUUGUACUUGGGAGAUAAUACCUUAUACAUUCCUAGCAUGUUCCGAAAGAAAGAACAAUUUAACAACGAUCAAUCAAAAAUCUAUCUAGCCGACAAAUAGAUGAGAUGCCGCCCAGCGCCCGGAUCAUGAUAUAGCAUGGGGCUAUGUCAUUUAGCCUAUCUAGCUAGCCUCCCGGUCAAAUGUAUUGGCCGUCAGUACGGUUAGAUGAUCUAGUUGUCGGUUAGAUGGAGUUUGACCGAUUGUUAUUAAAUCGUUCACUUUUUUCAUAUUUUUUUUAUAUUAUUUAUGACACAAUUGUACUUGUGUAAGACUUUUUAUAAAACUCAAGCAAAGUCAUCAACAGGUAUUUAAGUUUGUUCCCUUAACUUGGGUUAGUUCCACCAUGCACCUAGGUGUAUGGUGGAACUAACCCUUAACUUGGGCAUAAAAUACUUAUUUUUAUAAAAAUGAGCAUUUUUUUAUAUACAAUUAACAAAAGUGAGCAUUUUUACCUAUUAAUGCAUUUAUUAAUAUCGCAAUAAUAACUCAACUUUUAAAUUUGUUUGUAACAAAAUAGACACACCCAAACGUUCCUCACGAUUGAAAAAAUACCAUGACAUGAUUUUGUUCCACUCUCACCAAACACUGUUGGAACUUGAAGAAAAUCAUGCCACGAUAGUUUUACAAUCCUCGAAAAUUUUGGGGCACUGUUUAUUUUGCUACAAAAUAAAAAUAAACAGUGCUUUAAUUUCAUUGAUCUUUUUCUUGUAAAGGAAACUAAUAAAGGGAAUUAAAUAGAGAUUUGAGUAUCAGAAGCCUUACCACUAAAUGAAUUUGUGGACAGGCCUAUUCCAAUAAGUUCUUUCAAGUUCCCAAUUUCCCUUGGCAAAACUCCAGUAAAUUUAUUGUUUGUCAAGUCAAUAUAUCGAAAAGAAGUUCUAUUAAAAAUUGUUGAUGGCAAUGUACCUGUCAACAUGAUAAUAUAAAUCAACAAUUAUAUUUACAUUUAAAUUUGCGGCGUCUCACUAUUUUGUUAGCCGAAUGAAUUCAACGAUUACUAUAAAUUAUUGAAAGAAUAUUUCAAAAAACAUUCAUAUUUUUCUAUAGUUUGAUAUGAUAAAGAACUUAUAAUCUUCUUCAAAAUGUUUGACAAAAUAAGCCCUUAAAGAGCUUAUAAACUAUAAAUUAAAAUUAAGCUCUAAGAGCAUUACGCUCUACAAAAAAUAAGUUCAUUUACCGCAACUUAUUUUCUCAUUAUCUUAUAAGCAACACCCAUUUUUUACAAAAAUAACUCAACUAUGAUUUUAAAUUUUUAUCAUAUAAUAUUAUUCUAAUUUCAUCUCUUUUCUAUUUUCUCUAUAUCACAAAGAUUUUCUCUUUCUAACUAAAAAUUAUCUCUCUAGUUUAUAAGCUCAAUUAUCCAAACACUUUGACAAUUUAUAAACUCUUAUGAAUUUGGCUGAGCUUAUAAGCUUUUCAAAACAUCUUAUAAGUUGUUUAGGAGCUUUUAAGCUCCUUCAACAGCUUAUAUGUUUGGCAAAGAAGCUUAAACAACUUAUAUAUUCUAAAAAUAAGCUCCCCCAAAAAUAAGUUCAUCUACCCAAAUUUAUUUUUUUAUAAUCUUAUAUGCAACAUUUAUUUUACAAAUAUUUUUAAACUAUAAUUUGUUAUUUUCAUCAUAUAUCAUUUCAAGUUUAUUUAUUUCGAUUUUCUCUCUCUAAAUGUUGUUUUCCUUCUCUAGCAAAAAAAAACUCUCUAACCUAUAAGCUCAAUUAUCCAAACAUUUUGACAACUUAUAGCUCUUAUGAAACUACAUCUUAUAACUCUUACUUAUAAAAGGAAUUGAAAGAGGAGGAAUAUAUCGUACACCAUUACCACUUAACGCAUUGUUAUAAAUGGACAGCACAAACAUUGCUGUUAUAUUUCCAACUUCUAUCGGCAAUGAUCCAUUAAAUUCAUUGUUGUCCAAUCUCAACUCCCUUAAAUUAGUAAGAAGAUCAACUUCUUUCGGAAUAUUACCUGCAAAUUAAUUGUGAACCAUAAUUAAUUAAUACUACAUAUUACCUCAAAUUUAUUAAAAUAAUCAGAAAUUAUAUACAUGCUAUAUUAACUAAGUAGGCAAAUCAAUAAUUAAUUUAUUUUCAAGUUUCAAAAGCAGGUGCAUUUGAAUAUAAAUUUGUUGAUUUGCAAAUCUCCAUGUAAAGGGCUAAACAUAUAGUAUUAAGAAGAGUUGAGAUUCAUACCACUGAAACUGUUAUCUUCAAGGCUUAUUAAGAUAAGGGCUGUGAGGUUACCAAUUUCUCUUGGUAAUGGUCCAAUAAGUUUAUUGGAUUUGAACACCAUGGCUUCCAGUGAUGACAUUCCGAAAAUACUUGCAGGUAAAAUGCCUACAAAUAAUUAAUUGAUUAAUCAUAAUCUAACUAUUAAUUGUAGUAUAUAUGUUGUAUGCUAUUUACUUGCAACACAAAAUAUAUUACAACAAUUUGUAAAAUAUAUGUCGAGGCGUAUGAAAUUAACCACAAAACAUGUGCGCUAAUACGACUUUUUUCUUAGGUAAAAGAGCAAAUAAUUUUAAAGAUUACGUGACUAACUUGAAUCUGAGACCUUUUAGCUUCAAAUAUGCAUUAACCAUAUUAUCAUUAGAUCAACACAUGCAUGAUGCAUACACUAAUAUUACUACUACUUAUAUCCUGACCUACUCACUUAUUCAUUGUGGAGACAAAUCUUAUUAUUUAAAAAGUCCAAUUUAAAUCCUGACCUGCACACAAGUUUUUGCGUAAUUCUAAUUAGGUGUAUAUAAUUUCAAUAUAUACCAUUAAUCAAACCAAAAACAAAUGUAGGAAAAUAAUUAAGAGCAUGGGAUAAGAUCUUACCACUUAACUUGUUGGUACCAAGGUCCAACCAUUGAAGCAUUGUCAAGUUUCCAAUUUCUGUCGGCAGGUGUCCAUUGAAGCUGUUGGAACUCAUGUCCAAAACUUGUAAAUUAGUGAGACCACCGAUCUCUUUUGGAAUAUCACCUAUUAGUAAAGUUGCAUGAAAUCAAAAUCCGAUUAUAUAUAUGAAAUUAUUUCUUUCGAUAAUAAAUUAAAGUAAUAUGAAUUUAUAUAAUAAAAUUAUUAAACGUAAUUGUCAAGUUAGUUUUUUAUGAAUUAAUUUGUUUAAAUCCACAAACUUUACACAAUUUAUGAUUUUUUUCCAAAACAAAUAAAAAUAUGUUAUAAAUACCACAUUUUCCGGAAUUUUCCAGGAAAGUCAACUUUGAUGAAAUCGAAUAUGAUGUGGCGUCAGAAUACAUCAGAUUCUGCUGAUAUGGAAUAUCUUAAAGGUUUAAUUUGGUAGUACAAUUUAUUUCACAAUAAUUGAACUAUAUAUCCAAGUUUUAGAAUAGUUAUCGUCAUAUAUAUUUCCACAUCAACAGAAUCUGGCGCUAUGUCAGCUUAAAUUUCAUCUGAUUAACUUUUGUGGGAAAUUCCGGAAAGUGGACGAUGUAUUUAGAACAUAUCUUUAUUUAUUUUGGAAAAACCGGAAAAUUAUGUAAAAUUUGUGGAUUUAAAACAAAUUAACCCCUUUUUCUAUUGGCAAAGUGUAUGGAUUCCUACGUGAAUGAUGGAAUUUCCGAUUCUAAAACUUAGAAUUGAUCAAUAUUAUAUUCACAUAUCUCAUUAAUUUCAUCGUACUAAUCACAUCCUUACAGCAUAACUCGAACCCUUUCAUAGAGAAGAUCGAAUAAAAGAGGACACAGAUGCACAUGCCAUAUGUAAAGCAUAGAAAUUAAAGAUUAAUUAAACAGAAUUGCAUUAGAAUGAUCAUUUGUAGACUAUUGAAAGCCCAAAAAAAGAAGAAGUAGGGAAAUUUAUAAAGAUCUUAUAAUUACCACUUAAAUUGUUGGCACCAACGUACAACGUUUGAAGCUUCGUCAAGUUCCCAAUUUCUCUCGGCAAAAAUCCACUGAAAUUGUUGUUGUACACAGAAAUAAACUCAAGCUGCGAACACUUCUCCAAACUCGAUGGUAUUUCCCCAUACAUCUCGUUGUAAGAUAUACGAAGCCUCUUGAGUCUAUGCAGAUUGUGUCUGCACAUAUCAAGAGGUAGACUACUAGACAAACUAUUAUUCCUUAGAUCCAAAACUUCUAGAAACGACAAGUUGAAGAUAGAUGGGGGAAUGGGGCCAUGAAAAGAGUUCUCGUUCGCUGCUAAAGAAACGAGAGAAGAAAGAUUCCCGAUUUCUAGUGGGAGGGUUCCGACAAGACCCAUGUACGAUAUAUUCAGCUGAGUAACCCUAUUGUAACGUGAAUCACAAGUAACUCCGAUCCAACUGCAAACACUGGCUUCAGUGCUCCAAUUUUGGGUCAAUAUAUUUUGUGGGUCUGAAGUGAUUUGAGAUUUUAAGGUAAGAAGUGAAGAACGAUCUGAGUUGACAUCUGAGAUGGCUGAGCUAUAAUUCAUAAACCAUUGAAGUAGCAAAAGUGAUGUAAGAAGGGAAAAUUGGGAAGACCUAUCCAUUGAGGCUUGAUUUCAAAAGUAGUAAUGUGCGAGUAGACAAGAUUUAGAGCUACAAAUAUAUACUAUAAAUGGGAACGCAAUUUCGUGUGAAAUUGAGAAAUUAAGUUUGAAGAAAAGUCAUGAUAACUGAUUAAUGACAAUUGACGCCACUGGCUCUCUCGUCAAAUAGACCAAGACUUUGCAAGUCAAGUCAAGUCAAUGCUCCGUCUCACAAUUUAACAUAUCCCACCGUUUCUUACUCUUAAUCUGUUACUAUAAUUUUUAAUUAUUUUUUAAUUUUAAUUUAUUAUGUUAUAAUAUAAUAGAAAGAUAAUUAACAAUGGUUCAAAGUUAGGAUUUAUAGUUUCACUUUUAAAUUUAUUUGAAUUAAUAAUGUAUUAUUUGGGUUAUUAAUUCAAAGUUAGGAUAUAUAAUUUUUUUAACUUUAAUUUUUAAUGAUAAAUAUUAAUUGGAGUUUAUUAUAUAAUAAUAUCUUUUAAUUUUAUAACAAAUAAUUAUAAAAUAGAGAAAUUUAAAAUGGAACAUGGUGGGACACACAAAAUUGUGGGAUAGAUGAUCUCAUCCGUUUAAAACCUUACUAUCAACAAAUAAAAGUUUGGCUAAAUCUUUUAUCUAGACCUAUUAUAAAAGAGUUAUAUUAAUAAUAUUAGUUUAUCUAUUAAUUAUAUUAUUAUUAUUAUUAUUAUUAUUAUUAUUAUUAUCAUUAUUUUACCAAAAUAUCACUCCGAUCGUAAUUUUAAAUAAGUUUGAUCUCUUCAAAAUUAUUAAGUAUUUAUGUAGAUAUUGCCUUUCAAAACAAAUCAACAAACAAACCCCUCACAAAAUUUCAAUUUCUUUCUGAAUUAGACCGUAGCUCGGUUGGUAAGACGCUUCCCCUCCAACCAAUAGGUCAGAGGUUCGAGUUAUCAAGGAGGGAAAAUGGGGAACCAUUUUUUUUUUAACCUUUUAAAAAGAGAGAGGGAGAGACCAUAUAUAAGAAAUUUGUAAGGUUUGGUGCAGCAAUUAAAAUUUGUAGGGAUGAUAAUGGAUUCUGGACCCGGUCCAAAUCCGUUUUUCUGGAUCUGGAUCUCAUUUUUUUUGACCCGACGAAUCUGGGCCGGAUCUGAAUCUCAAUUUAUAAAAUGGAUCUGAAUCUGGAUCUUCAAAUUUUAGAUCCACAUCCGACCCAAAUCUGACCCGUGGAUCCGUUUAUUUUAAUAUAUCUUAUUUAUUUUUUAUAUUUAUUUUUACUAAUAAUAUUAAAUAUAUUAAAAAUAAAAAAUUAAAAAUAAUACACAAAUUAGAAUUACAAACCUUAAUUUCUACUUUCUCCAACUCCCUCGGUCCCUCUCCAGUUCGCCGCCCUCACCCUGCCCAUCUCCCUCCUUCUAGUUCGCCGCCCUCACCCUGCCUAUCUCCCUCUCAAUCCAGUUCGCCGGUGAAGGCGGGGACAACACAUUCCCAACUCCCUUUGGCAUUCCGAAUAUCUCUUUUACAAGACUUGUAGCAUUGAGAUUUGUUUAUUUUGAAUUUUUGAUGACUUAUUUUUCUAUGUUGAGAUUUUGUAUUGUAUGAAUGUGUUUUGUGCAAUAUUUUUUAUGAUGGAAACUAGAUGUUCAUGAUUUUGUGACUUUUUUUUUAAUUUAAUUUAAAAACAGUAGAUCCAUCGAUUUAGACCCGUGGACCCGCGGAACUGACGGAUCUGGAUCUGGAUCCCAAAUUUCAGAUCGGAUCUGUUAAUAUAAAACGGAUCUGGAUCUGGUAUUGAUCCGGUCCAGAUCCGACCCGUUGCCAUCCCUACUUGCAGGUACACUUGACUUUAAAUCGUCUACUCAUUGUUUUAAUUGUCACCAAAAUGUAAGUAGAUGUUACGAUGAAGCGUUAUUAUUCUUUUGACAAAAUGCAAAAGCGCACAAGAUACUACUUGCUCAUAUAUUUGGUAGACUGAGUCCAACUCCAAAAAUGAACCUAAAAUUAAUCCCUUUCUUUUAUGUAUCUGAACAAGAUCUAAAUGGUCGUAAUUGGCAUAUAAAUACAAUCAAUUAUAUACAUAGGAAUAGGAUUGAUACUUUGCAUAAAAUCAAAAUUUUGGCGAAUUGUUGUGCAUUCCUAUAGUACAGUAUUUGAGUAACAUUUUUUUAACCGAAAUAUGGGCAUUUACUUUCAGUGAUAGAAUAGAUUGAUAAAUCAUAGAACUAAGCAUUGAGGAUAAGAUCUGGUCAUUCCAUCAAAUUAAAAUGAUGGAUUAGCUUGCACUACAAAAAAAACUAAUUCUAGCGACGAAAAUUCCGUCUCAAAAUCCCGAACGUUCCGUCUCAAAAUAAUGGUUACGACAGAAUUGCGACUGAACGACGACGCAGACACUAAAAACGGGGUCGCUAAAUUUUCCAGCGACAGAUUUUAUUUUCCGUCUCAAACCUUACGACGGAAUAGCCACGGAAAUUCCGUCAUCUCACCACCUGGGGGUCGUCUGCAUUGACCGAAUUUUGAGAUGGAAACAGAGACGGAAAUUCCGUCUCUAGUUGAGACGGAAACAGUUCCGUCGUUAGAUUUUCCGGCAGUGCUUUCCGGCGCCGGCCGCCGUCCUUUUGAGACGGAAUUUCCUUCAUUAGCUUUUUUCCGUUUUUUGAAUUUUUUUUAUUUUGAGAAGGAAUUUCCGUCGCUAAAAUUGCCAGUUUUUUUUUUUGUUAUUUACCUCUAUUCUAAUACAUUUUAUCAUGCAACAUAAUCGAAUAAUAAUUAAAAUAUUUUCAUAAUAGAUAAACUUUAAAUAGUAACUAGCAGUCAACGAUAAUCAACAAAGUAUCUAACAAUCCACAUUCUAGUGUUAAGUUAGCAUCUAACUCAAUAGAUUCAAGUUCCUAAAACAAACAUAAUGGGUUGUAGUUAUUUUUAGAGUUACGUUGUAAUUCAAAUAAUUUCAACAAUAAUAUGUUCAUAAUGUACAAACCAGUCAUCUUUUGACUGCAAUUGCAAAUACAGUACAACAGAAUAGUAGGAAUUCUAUUAUACAUGUACAAAAUAGUAUGUAGAUAUAUAUAUGACUCACACAUAUACAAACAAAACUAGACAUAAUUCCAUACUCUUAAUUAUAGCACUACACUCUCUCUAUUGCUUCAAUCAAAAAAGAAUUCCACCAACCAUCUUGGCCUUUCAUAUCGAAUAAUUUGACACCCCAUAAACACUCCAAUUAUGAAUCCACAUCCAUACCCCAACACAACUGCUUGCCACCCAAAUCCAUUCACAAAACCAUCAUCAUCUUCUUCUUCUUGGGGCAACAAUGGCUUCGCAUCACUCCCUUCACAUUUCUUCGUCAAUGGAGGCCCACACAAUCCUACAUUCCCCACGUACGACUCAUUCUCGAACGUGAAAAACUGAGCAGAUCGUGGAAUUUGCCCCUCAAGAUUAUUCAUCGAAAGGUUCAAUUUCGCGAGAAAUGUCAACCUGGUGAGCUCACUCGGAAUUUCUCCAUCCAAUUUGUUCGAUGACAAGUCCAACGACUCGAGCAAACUCAUCCCCCCAAGAGAUGAAGGUAUAUGCCCCAUGAGGGCAUUAUGAGAAAGAUUCAAGAAUCUAAGAGAGUUAAGAUUCCCCACCAAAGCCGGAAUCUUCCCAGAGAAUCUAUUCGAGGAUAAGUCAAUAGUUGUAAAGGUCGUCAGCAGCCGCUGCAAUAACUGAUCCAAACCUUUCAAAGUGAGCGUCAACUCUAUAAACCUUAGAAACAAAUUUGCUCCAUCAUCGGUCUGAUUUUCCUUGGCAUCGAUCAUACCUCGAAAAUUCUUGAAAUAUCUAUCAGGCAACGAGCCAACAAACGCGUUCCCUGAUACAUCCAAGACUUGCAAUUUGGGAAACGGUUGCGUGGUCGUUGAAGCCACCGACAUAUUACCAUCAAACUUGUUAGACCUCAAGACGAGGAUACGGAGUUGAGGGA